GUUUGAUCCUGGCUCAGAACGAACGCUGGCGGCGUGCUUAACACAUGCAAGUCGAGUGCGCGUUUCUGUAGCAAUACAGGAAUGGCGCACGGCGCACGGGUGCGUAACACGUGGGUAAUCUGCCCUCUGAUGGGGAAUAACCCGCCGAAAGGCGGGCUAAUUCCGCAUAACAUUCCUUGGACUCCGGUUCGAGGACUCAAAGGCGUAAGUCGUCGGAGGUGGAGCCCGCGCCCGAUUAGCUAGUUGGUGAGGUAACGGCUCACCAAGGCAAUGAUCGGUAGCUGGUCUGAGAGGAUGGCCAGCCACACUGGAACUGAGACACGGUCCAGACUCCUACGGGAGGCAGCAGUGGGGAAUCUUGCACAAUGGGCGAAAGCCUGAUGCAGCGACGCCGCGUGGGGGAUGAAGCUUCUCGGAGUGUAAACCCCUUUCGACCCGGACGAAUGCCCCGCAAGGGGAGUGACGGUACGGGUAUAAGAAGCCCCGGCUAACUACGUGCCAGCAGCCGCGGUAAUACA
rnacentral:rRNA from 1 species